UGGAUGAAACACCCACAGGAUUUCUGAACCUGGGCUUCUGUGAAGAAGAUUCAUCCCAGGAGCCAGACAUUCCCAGUGACCAGCCCCAGGUGGCACCCACAACAUCUGGAUUCAGGUCAUUCAGGGUCUGGAAGCUGGUGAAGAAGCAAAUUUCCCAUGCACUGAGAGCACUGUGCAGCUGCUGCUGCUGCUGCUGCCUGCCCACCCCAAGUGUGGAAACUGAAAUGGCCCAAUAGAAUUCCAGACCUGGUGAGGAGUGACUGCCACAGAAGUGAGCCAGAACUCAUCUCCAGAGUGCCAGCUCCCUCCAACCCAGGACAACAGGCUCCUGCCUGCAUUCAUCCUCCAGCUAUUGGGUCUGAGCUGCCAUUUUGCAUCUCUUUCAGUUUAAUCCAGCUUCAGAACUGUUGUGGGACAAUUGGGGGUCAUAAGUCACAUGGACCACAUGACUCUACCUUCCUAGCUUUGGUUGUGCUUGUAGGACCACUCACACUGCAUGGAAAACAGCAGCCUCUACCACCAGGAAGGACUUCAUACCAAACUAGGCUGCUCAUCAUCUUGGUCACUUAACCCUCCAACUUACUCUGUGACUGCCUUUUGGACAAAACAGCAAGACCUGUGUAAAUCCUCUGGAAAAUGGAGCUUCAGGGAUUGAACUGAAGGUUCUUUCAUCCAGGAUGGACUACAAACAGCAGCAAAGUCCAAAUCUAACCUUCAGAAUAGAAGUCUAUGUCCACCAGUGAACAGAUACCUGGAGGAUCCCUACUGCAGUCCAGGCACAAAACCCAUGACUUCAACCUGACCAACCAGGAGCGUCCAGAUUGGCUACCUGGUCUAAUUGAUUGAGUUCUUUCAAUUUGAGCCUUGAGAUCACAGCUGAAGACUCAAGGAGACACAGGGUGGUGACUUGCAGGUGUGGCCUGAGACAGCAGAAGUUGGAGCUCUGCAGGAAGUCCAGAAGGCAGUGUGCCCACUUCCCCAGCAUGAAGGGUCUGUGUCCAGCACAGGAGGAGGAAAGUGACAGCAAGCUGGAGGAAAAUGGGUACCACUUUGGAUGGAAUGCUGGGACAUUGCUCCACUUUGGAAAUCUGCAGGUUCUGCUGGAUAUAUUCAGACAAACCUCAUCUUCACCGUAUGUGCAUCCUGUCUCAUCUAGGCAAG